CAUGGAACCAGUAUAUUUUCACAUCUCACUCUGAGAAUUAAGGAUUUAUUUCGACCAAACCAGAGUUGGUAGAUGUUGGAACUGUGGAACGACUACCAAAAAUGAUUUUGCUCUCCUCGCUGCUGUUCGAUGUGACAUAAUGCAGUUAUCACCAUGGAAAUCGCUCGGAGAUGGACCCUCUCUGGACAAUGUCAAGUCUCGCUCUCUCUCUGUAGAUUUGAUUCCAGGCUCGAGAGUGAAAGCGCCUACACAGUGUGAGAAGUCAAAUUCAAGGGCAGGAUUUUCUCCUGAUCCCUUCUGGCUUUUGCUUCUGAUGGAAUCCUUUUGAAGGGCACUUUGGAAAUAAUUACCCAUCUGAAAGGAGAAGUUUUGAGAGGAUGAAUGGUGUUUCUGCGACCUCUGAAGGUCCGACAGGUAUAUAAACAUGUCACAGACACUCUCACAUGACCGGCUGUACCGUUCAGGUGCAGUAUUGUAAGGCUUACAUUAUCCUUUGUGAAGCUUUUGUUCAUAAUGUGCUGUAAUAAU